GAUGAACGCUGGCGGCGUGCCUAAUACAUGCAAGUCGAGCGAACGGACGAGAAGCUUGCUUCUCUGAUGUUAGCGGCGGACGGGUGAGUAACACGUGGAUAACCUACCUAUAAGACUGGGAUAACUUCAGGAAACCGGAGCUAAUACCGGAUAAUAUUUUGAACCGCAUGGUUCAAAAGUGAAAGACGGUCUUGCUGUCACUUAUAGAUGGAUCCGCGCUGCAUUAGCUAGUUGGUAAGGUAACGGCUUACCAAGGCAACGAUGCAUAGCCGACCUGAGAGGGUGAUCGGCCACACUGGAACUGAGACACGGUCCAGACUCCUACGGGAGGCAGCAGUAGGGAAUCUUCCGCAAUGGGCGAAAGCCUGACGGAGCAACGCCGCGUGAGUGAUGAAGGUCUUCGGAUCGUAAAACUCUGUUAUUAGGGAAGAACAUAUGUGUAAGUAACUGUGCACAUCUUGACGGUACCUAAUCAGAAAGCCACGGCUAACUACGUGCCAGCAGCCGCGGUAAUACGUAGGUGGCAAGCGUUAUCCGGAAUUAUUGGGCGUAAAGCGCGCGUAGGCGGUUUUUUAAGUCUGAUGUGAAAGCCCACGGCUCAACCGUGGAGGGUCAUUGGAAACUGGAAAACUUGAGUGCAGAAGAGGAAAGUGGAAUUCCAUGUGUAGCGGUGAAAUGCGCAGAGAUAUGGAGGAACACCAGUGGCGAAGGCGACUUUCUGGUCUGUAACUGACGCUGAUGUGCGAAAGCGUGGGGAUCAAACAGGAUUAGAUACCCUGGUAGUCCACGCCGUAAACGAUGAGUGCUAAGUGUUAGGGGGUUUCCGCCCCUUAGUGCUGCAGCUAACGCAUUAAGCACUCCGCCUGGGGAGUACGACCGCAAGGUUGAAACUCAAAGGAAUUGACGGGGACCCGCACAAGCGGUGGAGCAUGUGGUUUAAUUCGAAGCAACGCGAAGAACCUUACCAAAUCUUGACAUCCUUUGACAACUCUAGAGAUAGAGCCUUCCCCUUCGGGGGACAAAGUGACAGGUGGUGCAUGGUUGUCGUCAGCUCGUGUCGUGAGAUGUUGGGUUAAGUCCCGCAACGAGCGCAACCCUUAAGCUUAGUUGCCAUCAUUAAGUUGGGCACUCUAAGUUGACUGCCGGUGACAAACCGGAGGAAGGUGGGGAUGACGUCAAAUCAUCAUGCCCCUUAUGAUUUGGGCUACACACGUGCUACAAUGGACAAUACAAAGGGCAGCGAAACCGCGAGGUCAAGCAAAUCCCAUAAAGUUGUUCUCAGUUCGGAUUGUAGUCUGCAACUCGACUACAUGAAGCUGGAAUCGCUAGUAAUCGUAGAUCAGCAUGCUACGGUGAAUACGUUCCCGGGUCU
rnacentral:rRNA from 1 species